rnacentral:rRNA from 1 species
UACGAAGGGGGCGAGCGUUGUUCGGAAUUACUGGGCGUAAAGGGCGCGUAGGCGGCCUACUAAGUCAGACGUGAAAUCCCCCGGCUUAACCUGGGAACUGCGUCUGAUACUGGAAGGCUUGGAGGAUGGGAGAGGGAUGUAGAAUUCCAGGUGUAGCGGAUGAAAUGCGUAGAUAUCUGGAGGAAUACCGGUGGCGAAGGCGGCAUCCUGGACCAUUACUGACGCUGAGGCGACGAAAGGCUAGGGGAGCAAACGGG